rnacentral:rRNA from 1 species
GUCUACAGCCAUGCUACCCUGAACAAGCCCUAUCCCGUCUGAUCUCGGAAGCUAAGCAGGUUUGGGCCUGGUUAGUACUUGGAUGGGAGACCACCUAGGAAGACCAGGUCCUGUAGGCG